GUGCUGGCGUCCUGUGUAGCGUGCGACUGCGCGACACAGGUGGCGAGACUCAAAUCAGACCGCUAAACAUGUAGAUCUGCCCGAACAAGGCUUGCGGACGGGGGUUCAAAUCCCCCCAGCUCCACCA
rnacentral:tmRNA from 1 species